rnacentral:lncRNA from 1 species
UCCGUGCAGACGUCUCCAUGUUUUUGGCGGGUUCCCUCCUCCUCCUCGCUUAUGUUCUCUCUAUACAAGACACCAUGUUCUCUGGUGGAGCUGAUGCAGAGAAGGACAAAAUCGUGCUGAUGAAGGUGCGAGGACACAUGUGAGCAUUUGGUCAGUUUAGUCAGUCUGUGUAUUUGACUCUGUGUGUAUGUGUGUGUGGCUGAUUAGGAUCAGCAUCUGAGAGACAGCAGCAUCCAGACACCAGCAGUAUCUCCGGUGGGACAUUCAGUUGGCAGCAGCAGCAGCAGCAGCAGCACUUCUGAUCAGAUGCCCACUCUCUCCAACACAAAUGGUAUCAUGAGCAGCUUCACCAAUGGACACUUCGAGCAGCUGAGUCUGGGACUGUCAGCCCCGCCCACCAACCAUCAGCCCAACAGCAGCGCCUGGGGAGGGUCAUUUCUGAAGCCACCGCCACUGACAGGACAAGUCCCCAACACGGGGAUCCACGUCUCACUGCACACCGGGGCCAAGCUGCUGGGUGGAGAUCUGGACUCGUCUCUGGCCAGCCUUGUGGGCAACUUGCACUUUGGAGGAGCACCAGCUAAAAAGUGAGACUUUUACUUUACUUCACCGUACAACCGACUGCAAAGCAGCGUGUUUUAAUAUGAUGAAUAUCACUAUUUUACAAAUACAAU